CUGGAGUUGGUCUGCAUUGACUUUUGGUCGGCUGAAGACUCCAGGAACAGGUCUGUUGACGUUCUGGUGAUAACUGAUCAUUUCACGAGAAUGGCUCAGGCAUUUUCAUGUAAAGACCAGACAGCUAAACAGGUGGCUAGGGUUCUAUGGGACCGGUAUUUCUGUGUCUUUGGAUUCCCAGAAAGAAUCCAUAGUGAUCAGGGUGCUAACUUUGAGAGUCUGCUGAUUGGUGAGCUUCUCAGGAUCUCAGGUGUCAAGAAAUCACACACAACCCCCUAUCACCCAAUGGGGAAUGGGAGUGUGGAACGUUUCAACCGAACCCUGGGUGGUAUGAUUCGAGCACUGCCCCCGGAAGAGAAGGCUGACUGGCCUCGGCGCUUACAGACCUUAACGUUCAUGUACAACUGUACGGAACAUGAGACGACGGGUUACUCCCCAUUCUACCUCAUGUUUGGUCGGAUCCCCCGCCUACCUGUGGAUGUCCUCUUUCGUGCUGUUCUUCAUGACUCUGCUGUGGUGAGCUAUGAGAAGUAUGUGGCCAGUCUCGCCAACGAUCUGAAGGAAGCAAUGGUCAUUGCUCAGGUUCAUGCUACAAAGGAGCAGAAUCGACAUGCCCAGCUGUACAACAGGAGAGUAAAGGGAUCCAAUUUAAACAUCGGUGACAGGGUGCUCCUGGCCAACAGGAAGGAGAGGGGUAAAAAGAAGCUUGCUGACAGGUGGGACUCGACAGUCUACACUGUGGUAGAUGUGAAUACAGAGACACACACAUACAGGAUCCGCGACACAAUCACUGGACGGGAGAAGGUGGUCCACAGGAACUUGCUGAUGCUGGUUAAUUUUCUUCCUGUGGGGGAUACAUGUGACAUAUCAGAUCUGGCCUCAUCCUUGCUCUGUACGGGGUCCUCCGUUUCAGGACAUGAUGGUGGCGAGGCAGAAGAGACCUCGUCUGGGAGAGGGAGGGAGUCUCUCAGUGUGGCUAGUGAAAGCUUUGACACUGAAGGUGACAGUGAGUCCCCUGUGACUGUGACGGACGGACAGGGUCCCUUGACCGAUGCGGUGCCCGUGGAUUCGGAGAGCAGAACCAUUGAAUGGAUUACUCAGUUGUCUGGGCCAAGCCUGGCUGAGGCGUGCAUUGUUGACAUGAGUGUUGCUUCUGAUCCCCAGAACGCAACUAUCUCACUUGAGGGCAGCACCACUGGUCAAUCUGUGACUUGUUAUUCUUGCCCUUCGACUGCUGCGGACGUCUCGACAGAUCUUAGGCAGUCAGACUUUGCACUCGAUACCAUGACACAGACAGAUAACACGUCUGAUUCUUUGCAUACUGUGGUCCAGGUCUCACCCGCACACCCUGGUCGUUUUAAUGCGCAGGUCAGGUCAAGAUUUGGUCGCUUAAUCAAUCCUGUGAAUAGGCUUAUACAGACUAUGUCCAGGCAGGAUGUUGUCCAGGAAUAGCUUGAGGUUGUUACCUUUUAAUACUAUGAGUGGGUGGCUUAUGCCUCUUUAUGGCUGAAAAACGUGUGUUGGUAUAAUGUUUCACUGUCCUUAUUGUUUUUUUGUCAUGAGCCUGUACUGCAUUGCACUUUGUGUUUGGGUCUUGUGGGGUGUACAAGGCACCCUGUUGCCAGUUGUUGGGUUGAGAGGCCUGCGCUGCUCUCGUACCACUUCAUCCUUAUGGGAUACAUUUUUUUGUUGGUUUUCUGGAUGUUGGCCCUUUGUGAGUUGUCAAUUUGUAUUGUUUUCUAUGGCGUGCAAUCGGUGAUGAGCGCUCAUCUAUGAUACAAUUCGGUGGGGGUGAAUGUAACGGAGUUAGAAAUACACUGUCAUUUUCAAAGUAUUGUAUUUUAUUUUUUUGGUUAUUAUUCAACAAUCUUGUUGAACGUGUGUGUGUGUGAAUUUUAUUUUGAUGAGUCAAAUUUGCGGAAAUUGCGAUUCAUCUCUAUUGCACCUCCUAGGGUUCCGUAGUCCCGUUUUUCCUUCACAGUAGUGUUACACUGUUGAAGACCCUGUGUGUAGGGAGCUGAUGUGCAGAGACCAGAAGGCAAUGUCUGUGUUUUAUUGUCUUCUGCAGGAGCAAAUAAAUGCUGAAAAGAUCAGUACCUGAGUCGACUACUUCCAUGCCCUAAACACAUCUGUUACAUCCGCACUCCCUCGAAUCGAGGGUCCAAAGAGAGUAAACUAGAAAUCUGAUUGCUGUUGGUGUUUUUCUGCACGCUAUCCGCAUACCUAAUCGGAUUGCAUCACGUGAUUGCACUACGUGAUUCAUGCAAUCCAACCCAGUCGUCGUCUUUUUCUUCUUCUUCUUCUUCUGUGGAGUUUUCGUUUGUAUACGGCGCGCAUGUCUUAUACGCAUGCUCCUGUCUUUUUCUUCAGUUGUCUGUAGCACCUUAAAGCGCCACCAACAGGCGUGGAGGAUGUACUACAGUGGAGUCAAUCGGAUUCACUGGGUUCAUGUGCACGCGAUUUAAAAAGUGGGUAGGUGUGAAAAAUGAACCUAGUUUGC
ensembl:lncRNA